AUACGGAGGGGGCUAGCGUUGUUCGGAAUUACUGGGCGUAAAGCGCGCGUAGGCGGGUUGGCAAGUUGAAGGUGAAAUCCCAGGGCUCAACCCUGGAACUGCCUCCAAAACUGCCAGUCUUGAGUUCGGAAGAGGUGAGUGGAAUUCCUAGUGUAGAGGUGAAAGUCGUAGAUAUUAGGAAGAACACCAGUGGCGAAGGCGACUCACUGGUCCGAUACUGACGCUGAGGAGCGAAAGCGUGGGGAGCAAACGGGAUUAGAAACCCCGGUAGUCC
rnacentral:rRNA from 1 species